rnacentral:snoRNA from 1 species
GAGUAUGGAGGAAAAAGAGGGAGAAUGGAAGUGAGAAUUAUGAGAGUGGAGAUGAGAGGGAAGAUGAGAGAAGAGGAUGGAAGGGAGUAACAAAAGUGAAAAUAAAAACUAAAAACUGAAAUAUAUUUCAAAUUGUUUUCACUUUCAAGAUUUUGUUUUCACUUUUGUUACUCUUCCCUCUCAUCCUCUCUCUCAAUCUCAUCCUCACUCUCAUUUUUCUUUAUACUCU